UUUAGCGCCAGCUGCCACAGAAACAGACUAUUAACGUUGAGUUGCUUAUCAGGGGAAAUCUUUCGUUGGUAUUUUCAAACGUUGUGCCGUGUUUUGUAACGUUGAUACAAACGUUAAAGAUACACUAAUGUUCAAUAAGAUAAGUUAAUAUUCUGUUGAUACGAUUAGGCAUAUUUGUUGCUGCACAAACCAUUAAGUGUAACGUUAAGUUAGUGUAACGAGGGUUAUUCAAUUCUGUAAUACUCCCUUUUAAUCUCUUUUAUAUCGCUGAUAGUGGUAACAGUCAGCAGAUGGUGGUGGGCUAACGGCGGAUAACGGCUAACUGUUAGCUAACAUUAGUUGACUCAAAGAAGGGAUGUUUGUUAGUUCCCAUGGUAACGGGCUUUAAAGCUGCGUGUGUAAAGCUGAUGAUACACGGAGCAACUUUUAGAGCAAUCGAUUGUUGUAAAGAUUACUACCGUAAUCCCCCUCCCCCACCGUUGCGCCACCCGCCCCGCACCGCCCCUAUCCGUUCAAUACAUUGUCAGACUUGCCACUACCAAGAUUGCCCAGCAACAUUGCUCAAAAAGUUGCCCCGUGUAUCAUCAGCUUAAGGGAGUAUUAAAUAUGAACAACAUAAACUUAUGAAAGUAACGCAAAUGUACACCUUACAUCUAUCAAAUACAGGUAAAAUUACUGACAAAAUAAAAUUACAAGAUUUUGCUAUCAGACAUAGUAAUUUAACCAUUUAAAACUCAAAUUAUGUAUGUAGUGAACACGCAAGAGGCAUAUGUUACAUUAGCUAGUGUAGCCUUAUGUCAAACGAUUCUAUGCAAGUGCACUGCAAUGGAAGCAAACAGUACUGUAAAGUUAGGUUAAUUGUUGCUUUAAUUUAAGCUAUUUAUCAUUAUUUAUUAUAUAUAUCUUAGUGAAUUUGUGAACUUGUAUUUUUAUAAACUGUUAACAAUUUAACAUCCCUGCUAGUGUAGCUACUGUUCUUUUUAUCUGGUAUUUAUAUUAUGUUUAUUUAAAGUUAGCAGAAAUUAUUAAUUUAUGUUUCUAACUUUUGUCGUCACUAGGCAGCAGAUAGGGCUAUCGGCUAAUAUUUAUCCUAGUUUUUUAAUUUCAUUUUUCUCUCUCUUUGUGUCAAACCACAGCGGUGUUUCAGACUGCUCCUUUGGGAUCUGAGAGACCCCACAAAUGUUGAUGUGGACCAACAAAUUGUCACACAGCUCUCUGUAACGUGAUGGAUGACUGUGAAGAUGGCAGACUGGAAAAAGGGCCAUGCUUAGACCAACACUCCUGGCAUCUCAAUACCUAAAAUGGCACGUUAAGGCUUCAGGGAAGGUCAUCCUAUGCAGUGUGACCACAUUUGGCUCACACUUGAUGGCCAGUUUAUCACAGAAGAGAGCGAGGACAUCUCGAUGGCACUGGGCAUCCUCCUGUGUGUAUAUUUUGUUUGGAAUCCAGCAUCCUAAAGGACUGAAGAAGACACUGACCUUUUUGGAGUGUGUUGUAUUGAAAUUAAGGAUGCAGUCGGACUUCCUGUCACAGUAAAGAGUAUACAAAUUAAUCUGUGAGUGGACUGUAGGACUCAAUAUUCUCUCUUUCUGGAUGGCCUGUUGAAGAGAACAAGGACUUUUCCACUGAACUGGGCCUCUUCCAGUUUCUAUUUUUGAAAUCCUGAAGGACUUACAAACAUGUUAUUGUGCUGUUGACAAUGAACGAUACUGCAGGACUUCAACUGCAUUAGCCAGUUGCAGUAAUUUCACAAAUGUACUAAUUUAAUGUUAAAAGACUAUAGAUUUUCUAAAUAUAGUGAAGAACUAAAGUAGGCUUAUACAGGAAUAGGCCAAAAAGAGACCUGCCUACUGGGCUACAGAAAAUGUUUGUUUUUACUUAUUUUAAAAUGUACACAUUAUAGCUUGUUAUCUAUAUAAGGAGAGUAUAUUGUGAUGUUGUGUAUAUAUUUAUCUAUUUGUUUUUUUCCUGACUUGACAACUCUUUAAUUUACUUUCUGUUGAAAUAAUACAUUAAAAGGUUUUAAAAGGGUAA